ensembl:misc_RNA Metazoa_SRP Metazoan signal recognition particle RNA
GCUAGGUGUGGUGGUGCACACCUGUAAUUCCAGCUACUUGGGAGGCUGAGGCACAAGAAUUGCUUGAACCCAGGAGGCCUAGGUUGCGGUGAGCUGAGAUCACGCCACUGCACUCCAGCCUGGGAGACAGAGCGAGACUCUGUCUCAC